ACAUGACUUAGAAUUUUCCAGCAUACCUAGGGAAACAAACACUAGGAUAAAUUCACAAAUAAAUGUGUAAUGCAAACACCAUUCGGUGCUCUGAAGAGAUAAGGACCGAGCGGUCUGCUUUUAAUGAGGGAGUCAGUGAAGACCUGACCUAUGCAAUGGCAAGGCCUGAAUCAUCUAGGCCAACUAGGAGAGCAGGAAAGAGCUCCAGAAAAUAGCUAUGACAGACAGCUUUGAGGGGUCAAGAAGACACAGAGGGAAUGUCACCAGGCUGGAAAGUAAGGAAAAGCCAGAUGGCGCAAGACUUGUAGACUACGUGUAGGAGCUGGGUUUUAGUCUUAACACCUGAAUGCGUGUGAAGCUCACCCUCAGGAGGCUAAGCCCAAGUUCAAGGCCAGCCUCGGCCACUUAACAAGUCUCUGCCUCAAACAGCCUGGAUGAAGUCAGUCAUGAUGGCACAUGCCUUAAAUCCCAGCAGAGGCAGGCAGAUCUCUAGGAGUUCGAGGCCUGGUCUACAGAGUGAGUUCCUGGGUAACCAAAGCUACACAGAGAAACCCUAUCGGAAAAACCAGUUGAGAGAGAGAGGGAUAAAUGGGUUAACAUUUGCCUAAGAGAUGAUUUGUGGGGGCAAACUCUGAGCAGCAGAUCCUGGGAAAUGCUGCCUGGGGGAGUCUAGUUCUAAUGUGGCCUGUGGCCCUCUGCAUGGUCGUUAGUCUCCCCAGACUCUGACCAUCAACACAAAUCCCAGCACCCUCUGAAGAUGAGACACUUCCUGAAAGUGCUACUUCCCCAAAAGUUUGCUUUUGCUGUCAUUGUUUUGCUUUCCCAACCACUGUCAAUGGUUUUGGUCCAAGCUUCAUCCACCCAUCAAUACUCCAAAAGGAAGAGGGGAGGGGGGAAGCUAUUGUGUAAUGUAAAAAUUUUGGCAAAUCUUAUGAAAACACAUUCUUAAAGCAUCUUUCAUUUUGGAAAAACAAAA